rnacentral:rRNA from 1 species
GACGAACGCUGGCGGCGUGCUUAACACAUGCAAGUCGAACGGAAAGGCCUGCUUUCCCUUGUGGAUUGCGGGUACUCGAGUGGCGAACGGGUGAGUAACACGUGAGUGAUCUGCCCCCAACUUGGGUAUAAGCCUGGGAAACUGGGUCUAAUUCCCGAUAGGACUGCAGGGUGGUGCCUGUGGUGGAAAACGAUUUUCUAGUGGUUGGGGAUGAGCUCGCGGCCUAUCAGCUUGUUGGUGGGGUAAUGGCCUACCAAGGCGGCGACGGGUAGCCGGCCUGGGAGGGUGGACGGCCACAUUGGGACUGAGAUACGGCCAGACUCCUACGGGAGGCAGCAGUGGGGAAUAUUGCACAAUGGGCGGAAGCCUGAUGCAGCGACGCCGCGUGGGGGAUGACGGCCUUCGGGUGGUAAACUCCUUUCGACCGCGAGGAAGCCACCUGGUUGGAAGGGUGGUGACGGUAGUGGUAGAAGAAGCACCGGCUAACUACGUG